rfam:Anaerolineae bacterium CG1_02_58_13 cg1_0.2_scaffold_18149_c, whole genome shotgun sequence.
UCCCGCCCCGCGAAAGGUCGCCGAUUGUGGCGGCCCCGCCCCCGUCUGGAAGUGAUGACGGUGUGGCUAGCGGGGCGGGUUGCU